UUUUAUGUUUACAGAUAACAUCGUAAUGCUAGAGAAGUUAAAUAACUGGACCAAGGGUACGAUUCAAAUGCAAGCUAUCAAGCCUGUCCAAGGCUUAACUCUUGAGCUGUGUCCCUUCUGGUCAGGAGCCUAUCCCACCUCUUCAAACUGGUCAGGAUCAUACUUCCCAUGGAGGCAAUAUGAACAAAAUGGGACUUGUCUUACAGAGUGAAAGUACCAAGGACUGCAUAAUGAAUAGCAAAAAGGAAUACGGUGGAGGAUUACAGUGUGUCCUGCUUCAGGAGACCAAAUCCCAGUGUCAACUUCUAAGAAUAAAGAUAGAUAGUAGAAAGAAGAGGUAAUCA
rnacentral:lncRNA from 12 species